rnacentral:rRNA from 1 species
AUGAACGCUAGCUACAGGCUUAACACAUGCAAGUCGAGGGGCAGCAUGGUCUUAGCUUGCUAAGACUGAUGGCGACCGGCGCACGGGUGAGUAACACGUAUCCAACCUGCCGUCUACUCUUGGACAGCCUUCUGAAAGGAAGAUUAAUACAAGAUGGCAUCAUGAGUCCGCAUGUUCACAUGAUUAAAGGUAUUCCGGUAGACGAUGGGGAUGCGUUCCAUUAGAUAGUAGGCGGGGUAACGGCCCACCUAGUCUUCGAUGGAUAGGGGUUCUGAGAGGAAGGUCCCCCACAUUGGAACUGAGACACGGUCCAAACUCCUACGGGAGGCAGCAGUGAGGAAUAUUGGUCAAUGGGCGAGAGCCUGAACCAGCCAAGUAGCGUGAAGGAUGACUGCCCUAUGGGUUGUAAACUUCUUUUAUAAAGGAAUAAAGUCGGGUAUGCAUACCCGUUUGCAUGUACUUUAUGAAUAAGGAUCGGCUAACUCCGUGCCAGCAGCCGCGGUAAUACGGAGGAUCCGAGCGUUAUCCGGAUUUAUUGGGUUUAAAGGGAGCGUAGAUGGAUGUUUAAGUCAGUUGUGAAAGUUUGCGGCUCAACCGUAAAAUUGCAGUUGAUACUGGAUAUCUUGAGUGCAGUUGAGGCAGGCGGAAUUCGUGGUGUAGCGGUGAAAUGCUUAGAUAUCACGAAGAACUCCGAUUGCGAAGGCAGCCUGCUAAGCUGCAACUGACAUUGAGGCUCGAAAGUGUGGGUAUCAAACAGGAUUAGAUACCCUGGUAGUCCACACGGUAAACGAUGAAUACUCGCUGUUUGCGAUAUACGGCAAGCGGCCAAGCGAAAGCGUUAAGUAUUCCACCUGGGGAGUACGCCGGCAACGGUGAAACUCAAAGGAAUUGACGGGGGCCCGCACAAGCAGUGGAGUAUGUGGUUUAAUUCGACGCAACGCGAAGAACCUUACCAGGUCUUGACAUCGAUCUAAAGGCUCCAGAGAUGGAGAGAUAGCUAUAGAGAAGACAGGUGGUGCAUGGUUGUCGUCAGCUCGUGUCGUGAGAUGUUGGGUUAAGUCCCGCAACGAGCGCAACCCUUAUUGCCAGUUACUACGAAAGAGGACUCUGGCGAGACUGCCGUUGACAAAACGGAGGAAGGUGGGGAUGACGUCAAAUCAUCAUGCCCUUUAUGACCUGGGCUACACACGUACUACAAUGGCGUUAAACAAAGAGAAGCAAGACCGCGAGGUGGAGCAAAACUCAGAAACAACGUCCCAGUUCGGACUGCAGUCUGCAACUCGACUGCACGAAGCUGGAAUCGCUAGUAAUCGCGGAUCAGCAUGCCGCGGUGAAUACGUUCCCGGGCCUUGUACACACCGCCCGUCACACCAUGGGAGUCGGUAACACCCGAAGUCAGUAGCCUAACCGCAAGGAGGGCGCUGCCGAAGGUGGGAUUGAUGACUGGGGUG